CAACCAUCAAGCCCCCGGCUUGUGUUGGGGCCCUGCGGCUGCCGCAGGCCCUGAAAACCAGUGGCGGGCUCGCUAGUCACUCCGAGCGUAGUAGUUUACACCUCGCUCAGGGCGUGCUGCGGGUUCCGGCCGUUAAAAGCCUUAUUUUACCCAA
rnacentral:misc_RNA from 1 species